CUAGAAAUACAUCUCCCAGAAAUAACACCGUACGACGGGUGACCCUGGAGAGUGGCUCUGCCAUAGUUGACAAACUGAGGAGUCAGAAAGCUGAUGUCCUAACUAGUGGCUCAAGAUAGAACACACUUCUCAGCCAAGGCCUCUGUUUCCCAGUCCCUUUCGCAACUAGGUCGUGUCAUUGAGUCCCGGAAUUUAUCUGGGUAGAAAUGAUAUGUGUACCACUCCCAAGCCUGGUGCAUACAAAUGCCCUGCCCAAACCUGCACGCUGUCUCUGCACCUCCUGCUGGCUGGCUGUGGACUUCCACAAGGCCCUUAAAUCCACAUCAAAAAUGGCAGUGGUUCAGCUCAGCCAUGGUCGUUCAAGCCUAUGAUCCCAGAACUCUGCAAGGCCCAGGAGGAUUGCUUGAGGCCAGGAGUUCAAGACCAGCCUGGACAACAAAGAGACCCCCGUCUCUACCAGAAAUACAAAAAUUAGCCAGGCAUGGCGGUCAGUGCCUGUAGUCCCAGCUACUCGGGAGGCUGAAGUGGGAGGAACGCCUGAGCCUGGGAGGUAGAGGGUGCGGUGAACUGUGAUUUUGACCCUGCACUCCAGCCUGGGCGAUAGAGUGAGACCCCAUCUCCAAGAGAGAAAGAAAGAAAGAGAGAAACAUCUUUAUAUUAAGCCACUGAGAUUUUCAGUUUUACAUGACAGAGUAGUUGGUGUUUCCUCAGCUGAUAAAGGAGGGGAGCUCCAGGAGCCUGCCUUGGGCUUCCCACCUUGACAGCCCUUCUCUGAGUCAGCAGAGCAUGUGCACACUGGCCAGCUGCUCAGAAUUUCUACUCAAAUAACAUAUUUGAGAACUGGGGAGAUGGCCGGGCACAGUGGCUCACACCUGUAAUCCCAGCACUUUGGGAGGCCGAGACGGGCGGAUCAUGAGGUCAGGAGAUCGAGACCAUCCUGAGCGAGACUCCGUCUCAAAAAAAAAAAAAAAAAAAAAGAAAUUUUAAAAUUAGCUAGGUGUGGUUCGUGCCUGUAGUCCCAGCUACUCAGGAGGCUGAGGUGGGAGGAUUGCUUGAGGUCAAGGUCGAGGCUGCAGUGAGUCAUGUCUGUGUCACUGCAUUCCAGUCUGGGUGACAGAGCGAGACUCUGUCUCAGAAAGGAAAGAGAAAAGACAACGGGGGAAAUUAACACAAGAUGGAUUCACACACCCCCACGGUGUCCACUGUGCGACGGACUGUGACCCGGAAGCAUGUCUCACUUGACCCCAAAGCCCUCUCUGACCAAGGACUGUGGAGACAUCAUAGUGUCUGGGAAGAGGCGUCAGCUCAGACCCAGUGCCCAGUAAUCCCUGAGAGCCUGGGCGUCCCUUCCUCCAGGACACAGCCAUCCUGCCAAGGGCUUCGCCUCCCUUCAGGGGGGCCUGGGGGAAGCCAUCCACAGCCUUGGGUGUUUCCGUCGAUGUGUGCCUCUAGCAGAGGGUCUGGGAAUGACUCAUAUCCAGGAAUUGCAAGGGGAACUUCAAACCCCCUGCCCUGCGAGCAAGCCCAGGCCUGAGACCCAGGGUUUUUCCACCACUGCUGCCCCUUCACCCCUGUGCUGCCCUCUGCUUUUGUCCUGGAGGGCAACUCCUUGGCAAAUGAGUCCACGGUCUGUGAGGCCACCACUCUGCCUGCCCAGCACGGUGACCGCGCCUGCCCGGCCGACCAUGUGACCUCAGCCCACCCAGGGUCUCCUCACCUGUUUCCUGGCAGCAUUGUCCCGUUCGUCCCCAGCAGCCUCCCGAGAGCUUGCUCAGGGUGCCGUCACUCUCCUCCCCGCUUCACAGUAUGCCCCUUAACGUCUUGGUGGGGGUGUCCUGCAGGCCAUCUCACGGGACAGUUAGGGGAUGGCAGAGCGGGUGAAGCACGAUCCAUUCUUGUCUCCUUCAGGCUUUGGAUGCCUUUUCCCCUGUAAACCAAGGAGUUUCUAGUAUGUUACCUUCAUUCCCCUGGGCUGCAUGGGCCUUGGUUUUAAGAACCACAGCACAAGCAAUCCCCUCCCAGACAACCCACCAGCCCUUCCAAUCCAGGACCCGUGAUGAUUGCCUCCGUUCCACCUGAUUUAGGAUCAUUUUCCUCCAAUACCCAUUCCUCUGGACUUGGCUGAAUGAGAUUUGCAAAAUGGUGCAAUGAGUUUGGUGUCUGUUGUCUCUUGCCGGGUUAACGUUACCCCUGCCCUGCCCUGAAAGACUGGACUUUGACCUACUCAUGGGUUCACCCCACAGACCUUGAGUUCCUUGAGCUCCUGGACCUGUGCAAUGAUGGCUGCCUCUCCUCCCGUCAUGGCCAGAUCUGCCAUGGGCUUUGCACUGGGGAGGUUUUGGCUGCCACAAACACCAGUUCUGGAGGCUGCUCUCUGCAGCCACUUCAGGGCAUAGAUCUGCUUUAGAAGAGCUUCCUUCUGGGCUCUGCCUAGUUCCUUGAAAGCACUGGAAAAGCCGAGCGCAGUGGCUCACAACUGUAAUCCCAGCACUUUGAGAGGCCGAGGUGGGCAGAUCACGAGGUCAGGAGUUUGAGACCAGCCUGACCAACGUGGUGAAACCCCAUCUCCACUAAAUAUACAAAAAUUAGCCGGGCGUGGUGGCACGUGCCUGUAAUCCCAGCUACUCAGGAGGCUGAGGCAAGAGAAUCGCUUGAACCCAGGAGGAAGAGGUUGUGUUGAGCCAAGAUCGUGCCACUGCACUCCAGCCUGGGCAACAGAGUGAGACUCCGUCUCAAAAA